UUGGGAAUACAACCCAAAUCAGACGGUGAAUUUCAUCUUAGGCUAAAUACAGGAGAGAGACCGAUAACGAAUAAGUACCACGAAAGAAAUAUUAAAAGGACUUUAAAAAUAGAGUCAAAGAGUGCUUGAAAUUAUUGGGAGGGAAGCAGAUGGAAGCUGACGAUACACCCUGGUCAGAUUUGGAAUGGUGACGAGCUGGUUCGUCGAUCGACUCGGGGAGUGGACCAGCGUGGAUUAGGGGGGCGGUCAAAGCCC
rnacentral:ncRNA from 1 species